UGUUCACAAAUGUUAUCCUCGGGGGAAGGUGGAUAAGGCAUGAAACAAAAUUGGUGCAUGCCAUGGUUCCUUGGAAAACGAAUUGCUGGUCAUCUCUCUCUUCGGCCACAAAAAUUGGAUUUAAAGUGUUAGACCAAGACAAAGGUUUGUUACUGUCUCAAACUUCAAUUAAACCAAAACUUCAUGUAAUUACAUGCUUACCAAUCACAUAAAUACUUUCUUUUGGCUAGGAUUUUGAUUCCUAUAUGUUUAUGGUUACCUCUUUCACAAGUAUCAGGCCACUUUCAAUACUCUCCAUAUAUAUGCAUAAUAUUACUACCUUGAUUUUCUAUUUUUAAUUUUUCAGGGACUUCUUGAAAACAUGAAAGAGAUGCUGGAUUGGUUUGGAAAAUGACAGAGGAUUGCUUAGGUUAAUUAGUUUGUCUUGUCUUUAUAAGUAUGAACAUCAUAUGGUUGCUUAGAUUAACUUAGAAGUUAGUUUUGGUGGGUGAGACUUAUGUAUUGAAUAUCUAUAUGUAUGUACAAUUGUAUAUUAUUCAUGUUAUAUUAGAAAAGUACUUGAUAUUA